GACGAACGCUGGCGGCGUGCCUAAUACAUGCAAGUGGGACGCAAGGGAACACACUGUGCUUGCACACCGUGUUUUCUUGAGUCGCGAACGGGUGAGUAACGCGUAGGUAGCCUGCCUAUUAGCGGGGGAUAACUAUUGGAAACGAUAGCUAAUACCGCAUAAUAUUAAUUAUUGCAUGAUAAUUGAUUGAAAGAUGCAAGCGCAUCACUAGUAGAUGGACCUGCGUUGUAUUAGCUAGUUGGUAAGGUAAGAGCUUACCAAGGCGACGAUACAUAGCCGACCUGAGAGGGUGAUCGGCCACACUGGGACUGAGACACGGCCCAGACUCCUACGGGAGGCAGCAGUAGGGAAUCUUCGGCAAUGGACGAAAGUCUGACCGAGCAACGCCGCGUGAGUGAAGAAGGUUUUCGGAUCGUAAAGCUCUGUUGUAAGUCAAGAACGUGUGUGAGAGUGGAAAGUUCACAC
rnacentral:rRNA from 1 species